GACGAACGCUGGCGGCGUGCUUAACACAUGCAAGUCGAACGAAGAGCGAUGGAAGCUUGCUUCUAUCAAUCUUAGUGGCGAACGGGUGAGUAACGCGUAAUCAACCUGCCCUUCAGAGGGGGACAACAGUUGGAAACGACUGCUAAUACCGCAUACGAUCUAAUCUCGGCAUCGAGGAUAGAUGAAAGGUGGCCCCUACAUGUAAGCUAUCACUGAAGGAGGGGAUUGCGUCUGAUUAGCUAGUUGGAGGGGUAACGGCCCACCAAGGCGAUGAUCAGUAACCGGUCUGAGAGGAUGAACGGCCACAUUGGGACUGAGACACGGCCCAGACUCCUACGGGAGGCAGCAGUGGGGAAUCUUCCGCAAUGGACGAAAGUCUGACGGAGCAACGCCGCGUGAGUGAUGACGGCCUUCGGGUUGUAAAGCUCUGUUAAUCGGGACGAAAGGCCUUCUUGCGAAUAGUGAGAAGGAUUGACGGUACCGGAAUAGAAAGCCACGGCUAACUACGUG
rnacentral:rRNA from 1 species